UGGGGAAUUUUGGACAAUGGGCGCAAGCCUGAUCCAGCCAUUCCGCGUGCAGGAUGAAGGCCCUCGGGUUGUAAACUGCUUUUGUACGGAACGAAAAGGUCUGAGUUAAUACCUCGGGCUGAUGACGGUACCGUAAGAAUAAGCACCGGCUAACUACGUGC
rnacentral:rRNA from 1 species